GACGGAGGGUGCUAGCGUUGUUCGGAAUCACUGGGCGUAAAGGGCGCGUAGGCGGCCUUGCAAGUCGGUUGGUGAAAGCCCGGGGCUCAACCCCGGAGGUGCGGCCGAGACUGCAGGGCUGGAGGCCGGAAGAGGAGGGUGGAAUACCCAGUGUAGAGGUGAAAUUCGUAGAUAUCGGGAGGAACACCAGUGGCGAAGGCGGCGAUCUGGGAAGAUACUGACGCUGAGGUGCGAAAGCGUGGGGAGCGAACAGG
rnacentral:rRNA from 1 species